rnacentral:rRNA from 1 species
CCUACGGGAGGCAGCAGUGGGGAAUAUUGCGCAAUGGGCGAAAGCCUGACGCAGCGACGCCGCGUGAGGGAUGAAGGUCUUCGGAUCGUAAACCUCUGUCAGCAGGGAAGAACGGUCACUGUGCUAAUCAGCAGUGAAUUGACGGUACCUGCAAAGGAAGCACCGGCUAACUCCGUGCCAGCAGCCGCGGUAAUACGGAGGGUGCGAGCGUUAAUCGGAAUUACUGGGCGUAAAGCGCUCGUAGGCGGUAUGUCAAGUCAAGGGUGAAAUCCCCGCGCUCAACGUGGGAACUGCCUUUGAAACUGGCAAACUUGAGUGUGAGAGAGGAUGGUGGAAUUCCAGGUGUAGGAGUGAAAUCCGUAGAUAUCAGGAGGAACAUCGGUGGCGAAGGCGACUAUCUGGCACAUAACUGACGCUGAGGAGCGAAAGCGUGGGUAGCAAACAGGAUUAGAUACCCGGGUAGUC